rnacentral:lncRNA from 1 species
AAUGCCACGGGCAAAUGCCACGAAGGAUUAUGGCAGAGUGGAUGGUAGUCUUAAGGCCUGAGGCAGAGACAGAGGGUUCCUUUUUUUACAGUCAACAUUCAAGCAUACUGCACCCGAAUGGACUAAGCUUACUGAAGUCACCCGCAGAAAAAACACACAAGCGACAUCAGAACAGAGAUGCAAAGACGGAAGCAGAAAAGCAGCCAUGAUCCUAGAAAAUGGCCGUUAACAUAUUGGUAUGCCGUAAGACUUUAAGAUCGCCUGGAAUUGAUUCUCAUAAUUUCCCCCCGGCGCUCGAGAUUGUUUUCCCAUUGCUCUUUCAGCUCCUGCUGGAGGUGGUAGCUCAAGUGGAGUCAAUAUGUGCUCAGACCUUCAUGCUCCCACCUCACGUCUGAGCGUGUCACUCCCCGCUUGCCCCUACCCAGACUGCAAUAACUUAAGAUGCAUUGACUCCUGU